UGCCAGGGAGGCAGCAGUAGGGAAUCUUCCACAAUGGGCGCAAGCCUGAUGGAGCAACGCCGCGUGAGUGAAGAAGGGUUUCGGCUCGUAAAGCUCUGUUGUUGGAGAAGAACGUGCGUGAGAGUAACUGUUCACGCAGUGACGGUAUCCAACCAGAAAGUCACGGCUAACUACGUGCCAGCAGCCGCGGUAAUACGUAGGUGGCAAGCGUUAUCCGGAUUUAUUGGGCGUAAAGCGAGCGCAGGCGGUUGCUUAGGUCUUAUGUGAAAGCCUUCGGCUUAACCGAAGAA
rnacentral:rRNA from 1 species